AGGGAAGGAGAAGAACUGGGCAGAGGAAGAUGUUGAGUUGCCUGCCAUUCAGUCCCAACAAAGGCCUGGGCUGACCUAAUGGUGAUUUCUGAGGCUAGGAUAGCCCUUCAGAGUUGUCCUGAGUUAGAGUAUGGUGGCCAGGCCUUUACACCCUUUUGUGUUCCCCAGUCAUUGGUUGAGGGCUGCUGUGCGAAGGCGCAUGUCCUUGGGUGAAGCAAGGGGAAGUGAGGCCUUCCACUGAGGGACUUUCCGGAGAGGGUCGGCAGCUCAGGGCUGUUAGCCAGCAACACUCUCAGCAGCUGGGGGAAUAAAUCCUUCUGUACUGGAGCCCAAUACAGCAUGCAUUACACAGGCUGCAUUUAUGAACGUAGCUGCCCUCAAAAGACAAGCUAAAUGCGUUCUCAAUGAGGAAGCACAUACUUGCUGCCCAGGCCAUUGCAGUUGCUGUGUUAAAUGAAGUAGAUCUCCAGGCCUUUCUUCUGAGGAGCCUCUGGGUGGACUCAACCUCCAGCAGUCAAGCGUGUUAACCAUUUGUACCAGCCAGGAACUGCCACAUAUAUUUGUCUCCCAGGACAUUUAAGAAACAUGAAUUGCCUCCAGGAGAGCACGGAGCCAUCCCAUUUAGCUUCUCGGCCAUCAUCAGGAGGGCUGAAGUGUCUGCUGUGGCUGGGAUUUCACUCAGCCAUUCAUCCGGGCAUGUGUGUGGCUGAGUGGGGGUGAGGUCAGGAUGAGGCAGCCCUGGUGUUAGGGUAAGCCAAGAAUUCACUCUUGGACUCUCUUCUCAUGGUCUGUUUUUUUGUCACACGUCUUCCUCUAACACCUUAUCAUCAUGCUCUUAACUACCAAGUCAGUGCCUUCCUUAAGAUUUGCUAAGAAGGCGGCGCUGCUUCUGAAAAUGUGCUCAGGGAGUGUGACUACUCUCUCCUUCUCAGCCACAGCCAGCUAGGCUUCUGCUUGCAGGGCUUCUUUCUAGUCUUAUGUAUUCUUCUCUACCUUCCACCUUCUCCUUCUCAUGUUAAGGUCUUGUAUUUUUCAUCUCAGACUCUGAAUAUUUUUCUUUAUCUUUGAUUUUUUUCCUUCUCAGUCUUUCGAGAACUUCUAAAUUUUCUACCAGAGUGCCUAUCUUCAUUUCUGUUUCUUCUUCAGUUCCCAAAAAUCCCUCCAGUUUCUCCCUAGUCUGAGGGCUGAUGAUAUAGCACACAUGUAGAACAUACAUGUACUUCUAGAGUCUUAUCCAGAAAGGAAGUAGCAGUUGUGAUCAAAAUCAACAGUUUCUUCCUCUAAGAAGCAAAUAAACAGCAACAGGAGCAGCGAUAAAACACACACACCCUAAGACAACCUUCUAACUUGAAACUAUAGAUCCUCCCAUAGACCACCUUUCAGCCAAAUAAUAGACAGGGCUAUAAAAUCAACGAUAACAUCAGUGAAGAAUGUGUUCCUUAGAACACUCAACUCUUCGAGACUAAAAGGAAACCAUUUGCCCAAACCAAAGGUGAGAAGACAGGGAGGGACAGGGAAACCGGACUAAUGGAAACGGAGAACCAAGGGAGGAAAUGGGGAGUGUGCUGACACAUUUCAGGGAUUGCAACCAAGAUCAUGAAACAAUUUGUUUAAGAAUCAUUGGAAAAUUAAUUUGCUAUGUAAACUGUCACCUAAAGCACAAUAAAAUGUUAACACGCAAACACACAACCAUGAAAGAUCAACUGUGUGUGUAUAUGUAUAUAUACAUAAUUACAUCAAAUAACAUUCCAAGAAUUCUAUUAUGUGCUAAAAGGACUUGGAUGUAAAAACAUUCCAUUGUUAAAUGGUCACAUUUAUACGUAUAAUAACUCAAAAUGAAAAAAUAUCUUUCAAUAAAACAUAUCAAAAUAUAUUCCUGGUGUGAAUAGUCUUGUGUUCUCAAAUUCUGUCAUCAAAUGGUCUAAAUAUAAGUCUGUUUUUCUUGGAAUAUUUAGCUACCUACUGCAAGAUCAUAUAACAGUGUUUAAGAGCAGCCUUUGCCAUCAGACUGAUCUGGGUUCGACUCCAGCCUUAUCGACUUUAAUAGCAACAUAAAUUUGAACAAGCCACUUAACUUUUUCAAACCUUAAAGUCCUCAUCUCUAAAAUGAGUUUCUUUUUGUGUUUGAGUACAAGGGAGAAAAUAUAUGCAAAGCAUGUAGUGUAGUGGCUGGCACAUAGAAGUUCCUCAAUAAAAGAAAAUUCGUUACUAUUGUGUGCCUAUAAUAUGCUAGUCACUGGACUGGACACUGGGGCCAAAACUGACAGGGUCUCUGUUCUCAUGACGCUUACAGACUAGUGGAAUGGGCGCCGUUAACUAAUGACUUGGAGAGAAGAUCCUCCUUCCUCCCUUCUGUCUUACACACGGCACAAAACAAAGGAAAUUGAAAUAUUGGCAAUCAUCUGGCAAGCUGAGCAAAGGAGAGGGCCAGCCCUCUCUUUACACACAUGAUACUCAGUGGCCUAUUCCAGACAUCUAAAAAUUCUGUUCAUCUCUUGCUCACAGUCCCAUAUCUAACUAGUCUCCAAGGCUAAUCUAUUCUGUCUUUUGGAUUUUUUCUGCAGGUGAUGUUUAUACUUUAUAGCAUUAUCAUUUUGCUCUUGUUUCCCAAAAC